rnacentral:rRNA from 1 species
UACGUAGGUGGCAAGCGUUGUCCGGAUUUACUGGGCGUAAAGAGCGCGCAGGCGGUCGUUCAAGUCGCGUGUGAAAGCCCCCGGCUCAACUGGGGAGGGUCACGCGAUACUGAUCGACUCGAAGGCAGGAGAGGGUAGUGGAAUUCCCGGUGUAGUGGUGAAAUGCGUAGAUAUCGGGAGGAACACCAGUGGCGAAGGCAAUGUUCUGGCUCGUUUCUGACGCUCAGGUGCGAAAGCCAGGGGAGCGAACGGG